rnacentral:rRNA from 1 species
GACGAACGCUGGCGGCGUGCUUAACACAUGCAAGUCGAGCGGAGCGGCGAACGGGUGAGUAACGCGUGUGUAACUGCCCCCCUCUCUGGGAUAACAGUUGGAAACGGCUGCUAAUACCGGAUAGUGGGGGAUGACUCGCGUCCUAUCAGCUUGUUGUUGGGGUAGUGGCCUACCAAGGCGACGACGGGUAGCCGGCCUGAGAGGGCGACCGGCCCCAUUGAGCUGAGAUACGUCCCAAAGUCCUACGGGAGGCAGCAGUGGAGAAUAUUGAUCAAUCGGGGAAACCCUGAGGCAGCGAGGCCGCGUGCGGAAUGACGGCCUUCGGGUUGUAAACCGCUUUCAGCCAUGACGCGGUAGUGGCAGAAGAAGCACCGGCUAACUACGUGCCAGCAGCCGCGGUAAUUC